UAUUUUCAUUUUGGAGCCAAGGUCUCACUCUGUCACCCAGGCUGGAGUGCAGUGGCAGGAUCAUGGCUCACUGUAGCCUCGGACUUCUGGGCUCAAGCUAUUCUCCCACCUCAGCCUCCCAAGUAGCUAGGACCACAGGUGCACGCCACCACACCUGGCUAAUUUUUAAAUUAUUUAUAGGGACGAGAUCUCCCUGUGUUGCCCAGGCUGGUCUCAAACUCCUGGAGCUCAAGCAGUCCUCCCACCUUGGCCUCCGUAAGUGAGAUUACAGGUGUGAGCCACCACACCUGGAUGCGCUUCCUUUUAGAAUAACCUUUGCGUGUCAUGUUGGCACUCAAAACAUUUCAGAUUUUGAAGCAUUUUGGUUUCAGAUUUUUAGAUUAGGGAUGGUCAACCUGUAUAUGUUUACUCAGAGAAAGCCACAAUUUUCUGGAAUGAUAUUUUGAGUACUUUAAGAGUAACUGAAAUUUUCUAUUUUCUUUUUCUCUACCCCAAAGUGUUUACUUUGGAGGCAUGAAAUAAUUUGGAAAAAGAAAAACAAUCACCAUAAGAUAUUGAUUCUGUCUCUAAGCUUUUUGCAUUCAUUAGUUUCCAUAGGACUUUCUUGCAGAUAUACAGAUGCCUCAUUGGAUUUUACUGUGAUGGAAUAUUGAUACAUUAGCAAAAACAGUGGACUUUGUGACCUUGAAAAAGUCAUUUAACAUCUCUGAACCCUACUUUCUAAGUCUCUACAAGUAAUAUAUAGUGGGUGAGGUGUUCUUUCUUUGUUCUGUUACUUGGAUGUGAAACUCUCCUUUCGUAGAUGAAACCAUUGCAUAAGGAGUAUAAAGACUUUUCCCUGUAGUUAUCUUACAGACUGGAGAGAGUGCUAGUGAAUGCUUUUGUCUUCAAUGCCCAUCUCUUGGAAAUAUUGAAGGUGGAGUAGCAACCGGGCAUUAUAUUAUCUCUUGGAAAAGGACCUCAGCAAUGGAGAAUAUCCCCAUCAUCACAACUGUCAUCACUCUGCCGCACGUGAUUGUGCAGAAUAUCCCUCUCCAUGUGAAUGCAGAUCUGCCAUCAUUUGGACGUGUCAGAGAGUCGUUGCCUGUCAAGUAUCACCUACAGAAUAAGACCGACUUAGUUCAAGAUGUAGAAAUUUCUGUGGAGCCCAGUGAUGCCUUCAUGUUCUCAGGUCUCAAACAGAUUCGAUUACGUAUCCUCCCUGGCACGGAGCAGGAAAUGCUAUAUAAUUUCUAUCCUCUGAUGGCUGGAUACCAGCAGCUGCCAUCUCUCAACAUCAACUUGCUUAGAUUUCCUAACUUCACAAAUCAGCUGCUCAGGCGUUUUAUACCUACCAGUAUUUUUGUCAAGCCACAGGGUCGACUCAUGGAUGAUACCUCUAUUGCUGCUGCAUGAUGUUCAAGACCGGCCCUUGGCUGUUGUUACAGAGACAUUGGGCAGAGCUAUGCAGGUGUUUCAUUGUGAACUCUAGCUUUGAUCAUGGUAAAAAGUUAAUCUUUUCUAUUUUUUAAUGGAUGUUAUACCAAGUAUUCAGAGGAACUCAUACUUCAAAAAUAUUAGGAAAAUCUGUCUUAUAGUUUCUCUAAUAAAUAUCUGAAAUCUCAGUACGACAUGAAAGGAUGUCAGACCAUUGUUAUUGUUGAAAGUCAUUUGAUGAAUGGUAAAUUCUGUGAAAAGUAAGUGAUUUGCAUGUAUAAUAUCAGGAAAAUUAAGCAUCCCAAGUAUGACUGGACAAAGAGAGCAGAUGCACCAGUGCCUGUGCCAUGAAGUUCCGAAUCCCCAUGUGUCUCUUUCAGAGCUGGCCAGACCGGAAAUAAAUCAUUCUCAUAAAUUCUGUGUACUCAGAAUACAUACACAACAACAUAGGGAGUUGUAUCACUGAUACGGAAAACUUCCAGAAAGUUUUAAUCAAAGCAGUUUAAUUAAGGUAUCAAAAAUAUCUUUGCUUAAUAUCAAAAAGUGUCAUAUAGGUUCAGCUUGCUGCCAAAAUAUGGAUCAUUUAUGAAGCAGGUUCAUAUUUUAGAGGUGUUAAUAAAAUCCUCAUCGGAAAAGAUCCAAAGUGCAAGGAUUUGAUUAUAAACAUAAUUUCCUAGACUGAAAGUUUUUGGAAAAGAUGCAGGGUCUGAGUCAGGCCUUUUGGUUAUAUUGUGCAGUUUCAAAAGAACUAUUUAAAACUCUUGAAAACUCAUGUAAAUAAAAAUUAUAGGGUGAAAAUUGUAUUUGUUAAAAUACCUUAAUAAUUUAAAACGACCUGAUUUCCUGGAAAAUUUUAUUAUUCAAAAGGUGGAGGCAUUGUAAAAAGGAAAUAGUGAUGUAAAUAAACAUGUUCUCUUUCAAGU
rnacentral:sRNA from 1 species